GACGAACGCUGGCGGCGUGCCUAAUACAUGCAAGUCGAGCGAAGUUUUUCUGGUGCUUGCACCGGAAAAACUUAGCGGCGAACGGGUGAGUAACACGUAAAGAACCUGCCUCAUAGACUGGGACAACUAUUGGAAACGAUAGCUAAUACCGGUUAAUAGCAUUAACUGCAUGGUUGAUGUUUAAAAGUUGGUUUUGCUAACACUAUGAGAUGGCUUUGCGGUGCAUUAGCUAGUUGGUGGGGUAAAGGCCUACCAAGGCGACGAUGCAUAGCCGACCUGAGAGGGUGAUCGGCCACACUGGGACUGAGACACGGCCCAGACUCCUACGGGAGGCAGCAGUAGGGAAUCUUCCGCAAUGGGCGAAAGCCUGACGGAGCAACGCCGCGUGAGUGAAGAAGGAUUUCGGUUCGUAAAGCUCUGUUGUUAGGGAAGAAUGAUUGUGUAGUAACUAUACACAGUAGAGACGGUACCUAACCAGAAAGCCACGGCUAACUACGUG
rnacentral:rRNA from 1 species